rnacentral:rRNA from 1 species
AUACGGAGGAUCCGAGCGUUAUCCGGAUUUAUUGGGUUUAAAGGGUGCGCAGGCGGCCAUUUAAGUCAGCGGUUAAAUCGUGGGGCUCAACCCCAUUCUGCCGUUGAUACUGGGUGGCUUGAUUGCGGUCGAGGUUGGCGGAAUUCGUUGUGUAGCGGUGAAAUGCAUAGAUAUGACGGAGAACACCGAUUGCGUAGGCAGCUGACCAGACCGCAAAUGACGCUCAUGCACGAAAGUGCGGGGAUCGAACAGGAUUAGAUACCCUGGUAGUCCGCACAGUAAACGAUGAAUACUUGUUUUCGGCGAUAUAAUGUCGGAGGCAAAGCGAAAGCGAUAAGUAUUCCACCUGGGGAGUACGCCGGCAACGGUGAAACUCAAAGGAAUUGACGGGG